GGAGAAACAAAAACUCCUUAGAAAUAACAGUAAUUUUUUCAUUCUUUCCACUUAUGUAUUUUAUGCUUACAACCACUUCACAUUCUUUUCAUAGACAUGCUAUGUAACACCCCACUUACCACUGUGCUUAAUUUGUACUUGGAAAAUCCUAUUUAUUCGAUUCUUAAGGCCAUACUGAACUCGUUUAUUUUACACCAUAGAUU
rnacentral:lncRNA from 1 species